rnacentral:tRNA from 1 species
GCGGGUGUGGCGAAAUUGGUAGACGCACCAGAUUUAGGUUCUGGCGGGAAACUGUGGGGGUUCGAGUCCCUCCACCCGCACCA